rnacentral:rRNA from 1 species
AGAGUUUGAUCCUGGCUCAGGAUGAACGCUGGCGGUGCGCCUAAUGCAUGCAAGUCGAGCGACGCACUCUGGAGGGGUAACCCACCGGAAUGACGGAGCGGCGAACGGGUGAGUAACACGUGAGCAACCUGCCCCACAGAUCGGGACAGCCCAGGGAAACCUGGAUUAAUACCGGAUAUCCUCCUAGGACCGCAUGGUCCCUUGAGGAAAUGCCUUUGUGCUGUGGGAUGGGCUCGCGAUUUAUCAGCUAGUUGGUGGGGUAACGGCCUACCAAGGCAUCGACGAAUAGCUGGUCUGAGAGGACGAUCAGCCACACUGGGACUGAGACACGGCCCAGACUCCUACGGGAGGCAGCAGCAGGGAAUCUUGCGCAAUGGGCGAAAGCCUGACGCAGCGACACCGCGUGGGGGAUGAAGGCCUUCGGGUUGUAAACCCCUUUCAGGAGGGAAGAAAUUGACGGUACCUCCAGAAGAAGCACCGGCCAACUACGUGCCAGCAGCCGCGGUAAUACGUAGGGUGCGAGCGUUAUCCGGAAUCAUUGGGCGUAAAGAGCUCGUAGGCGGUUCAGCAAGUCGGCUGUGAAAGUUCGAGGCUCAACCUCGAAAUUGCAGUCGAUACUGCUGUGACUCGAGUCCGGUAGAGGAGAAUG